rnacentral:lncRNA from 1 species
AGACAUCUUUCAUUUAGCAGGCCACCACAAUCAAGCUCACACAUGGUCCAACAUAUAUUCAUGCUAAAUAACAAGAUAUAAUAGAUGAUGGUCACAAGACAUGAAAGGAUAACGCACCAGUACGUACGUGCGUCAUUUCACACUGAAAAACACAGACAGGUUCCGGUUCAGAAAGGGAGAAAGCCAAAACAAAAGUUCACAGCUAUUAAUCGCGACAAAACGUAUGCACAGGAUAAUUGAGUAAGCGCAUUGUUGGAUCCUCCAGAUUUAAGCACCAAGCUCCUGCUGACCUGACCAUCAGUAAGUAACCUGUCAGGUGAGUUUACUACGUAAGCUUCUAUCACAAUUACAGAGGUGGUACAACUUUUAUAGAAAAACAAACAACCAAUGCACUCACCACCUCACUCCAUGUGUCGGCAUGUGCAAGAGCAACUCCAGAGAAGGUAACGGCCGGGUUCCUGCUACGACCUGCAUACAAGCGUCCAAAGAGUUAGAUUCAAUAGCAUAAGAAGGUAAACUCCCCUCUCGCCUCGCCCCCCUCGCGGGCGACACGGGGGGAUCCAACCUCUGCCGCCAGAGAGUCAUCCCGUGCCCGUCCUCCCCUCCGCUGCAGGUGGUCGGCGACGGGCUAAGCCCGUGCGUGCGACACGGUGGCGGAGGGCCUCUUCCCUCUCCCCCGGAUCCAUGGGUGGCGCGGGCGCCCAGAUCCGCGGAGGUGCGGCCCCCACUUCGGUCCACGGCGACGCCUGUGGUGGUGCCGGUGGGAAUCGGCCGGUUGCACAGGGGGCGCUGGUGGCCGGGGCGGCGACCCCAUGGCUAGGUGGCGGCGUGCCUGUUGGUCCGACUGGUUCCGGCCCGUCCUGGAUCUGGUGACUACCGGACGGCGCGGGGGGUGGCGGCGGCCCGGCGUGGCCGGCGAUCUGGACGCGGUGGUGCCGGCGGCUCUUCGCUGGUUUGCCGGAGUUCCAGGGGUAUCAUCGUCUCUGACUCGUUCUGCUCCGGUUCGUGCUAGUUCCGGUCCAGGGAGACUGUCGUCAUCUCCCGGUGCUAGCUGCAUGGAUCUGGCGGCGGCGACUGGAUCCUUUUGAUCUAGUCUCCGACAGAGAAGGCGGCGAUCCGUGCACAAGAAGCUGGAUGGAGUUCUUCGAACAGAUCUGGGUGAAAACCUGCUCUUGGCUAGAUGCCAAAGCCGGCGGUGGCGGCACUCUGCGGUGUAGUUCCCUUCAUGAAGGCAUCGCCGUGGAGAAGUUCUAGACCACUAUCUGCUACCUCCGGGGGAAACCCUAGAUCGAUAGAUCAGAAGACGGCGGCGCGCUUGUGUCGUUUCCCCCCUUGGGGGCGUCAUUCUUGGAGGUGUACACGGACUCGAGGGACCAGUGGACGACGUCUUUGGUGGAGCGGUGCUUCAUCAUUCACAUUCAUGGUGACAGAUCUCGAUGGCAUGGCACCCUGGAGAUUAGGCGUCUGAUGUGCGAUGAUGGACUCGCGCAGGAGGGUGACGCUGUCUGGCGUCAACGGCAGCUAGACCGGGCAAGGUAGAUGCAGCAGUACAGCUCUGAAGAUGGAUUGGUGGCAGGUGGCGGCGGCGGCCUCUCAGUGUGCGCCGGACCGGUGGGUGUCCCAUACCCGGCAGGCGUCCUGGUUGGGGCCUCAGGUCUUAGAUGUUAGGUUUGGCUGCGAGGUCUGUUUGGUAUUAGGCCCAGACUAUCAGCGUCCCUUCAUCAACUGGAUAGGAGUAGCGACAGAUGUUGCCUAGACGGUGGCUUCUGUUUUACUGUUGUACUAUUACUUUGUAAGGUCGUUUGUGCAUAAUUAAUAAAGUGGCUGCAUGCAUCGUCCAGAUGCAGAGGGCGGGGGUCUUCCUCCUUUUCAAGCAAAGAAAAAUACUUCAGACUCAUAAGAUGAGGAAUUUUUUGUUUCUCGGUCACAGACCUAGCGAUGCAGUGUUAAGGAAUUCUUCGUCUUCAGGGAACAGCUGCAGAUUUUUUGAUUUCAGAAUGUGCUCGACAGCGGUACCGUAGAAGUCCAUAAAGCUACAUAUUUUAACGACCUCCGCAAGCAAAGGGAUAUGCUCUGCUUUCUCGAAGAGCAGCCCUUGGGAUAUCUCAUCUGCAAACUUUGUCGCAAACUCCAACUUUUCCUUGUAGCCUGGUGCACGCUUGCUUUUCUGCAUGUAGAGUUUCGAGCUCUCCCUCCCCCACCGGAGUUUCCGUGUGCCCUUCACAUCAAGAACGUCCCCAGAGGAUAGCUUCACGUUGUAUCCCACCGUGAUUGGCUCGCUGGUCUCUAGCACCAUCACAUCGAGCAGGCAGGAAACAAUCUUGUGCCGCUCUUCAGCAGAAAUGUCGAGAGCAGGAUCGGCAAGAAAAGCAAGGACAAGUUUGAUCAUACCAACAUUGAUCACCUUACAUCGAGCAGCUUUUGUUGGACUGACAUUUUCCAAUGUGAGUGAAUCAUUCUUCCCAACAGCUUUGGAUAUUGCCUGGACUCCAAUGCUACCGUGGAUGUUGUUCAGCUUUGCUCGAGACAUGGAAGGCAGGCUUGAAGAAGGAUACCAGAUGAACAAUGACCGGUUAGGAAGCUUGUCGAACAAAUCCUUGAGAAGUAGAUCAUCGGGAAUAAACACGUCCUCUUUCUUUGACAUAAGGAUAGUUCCGUCGGUGCAAACUGGAACCUUGACAAAAGCAGGAAGAAGCUUUUGUUGGAAUUGAUCUACGGCUGAAACAAAGCGUGAGAGAAAAGGGGGAGCCUUUUGACCCCAGACGUGUAAUGAUCGGAAGCACACCACACAUCCACACGUUUGGUUUUGGUCCGAUGUUCCCAGCACACAUACAUAUAAGGAAAAGGGGGAUUUUCAUUAUGGAAACGGAAUCACGAUCUAAACCCACCUAACUGCUGAUCCUGAAGAUGUGCUGAGGUACUUGAAGGCACCACUGGCCACCCUAAGGCUAUGCCGGUGGCCCCCUGCACGUCCAUCUCCCUGCUGCCCCUUCUUCCCCGGCCAUCUCUUCACUGCCGGUGACCCCAAGGUGCAGCCAUGGGCUACCUCCACGGUCUCAACCAAGUCUGGUCAGUAUCUAUUUUUCACAUCAUGCAUUAGAUCAGUGGCGGAGCUAUGUUGGUUGCUGGGGGGCUGUGGCCCCCUCAACAUUGAACCAACUUGUGAAGGAAAAAAUAUUAUGAUGGCUUAGAUGAAAACUUUGUUAGCUUUUGUAUUCCGCCCCCCCCCCCCUAAGCUGUCCUGUCACAUUUCUCUACCUAAUAAUAAAGAGAAUUGGGUUUCUGCCCGUACGUCAUAAAAACUACCCUCGAAGUUGCCCUAAAUUACCCACUAUGCCAUCUAUAAGUGAAAAAACUGAUUUAGUUUCUUUUUCUUGAAAGCCGCCGCGGGGUUUGAUUAUUACACAAUGGUACCCUAAUAAAACACAAGCAGAAGAGUGCGGCACUGGUCUGUGCUUCAACACAUCAUGUGGGAGUAGGGAUGGCAAUGGGUACCCAUUAUCCGCGUACCCUGUGGGUAAAAACCCUAUUAGGGUAAGGGUAUGGAAGAAAAAAUUACCCAUGGGUACUUAAAUGGGAAAAUAUCAUACCCAUCGGGUAGAGAGGGUACGGGUAUGGGAUCGUAUAACCCAUGCCCACGUACCCAUGUACCCAUCGAAAAUGUUGACAGGUGGGUUUCCGUUAAUAUUCCUAUGUAUUCAUUUCCCCUCCUAAUCACGCUAGGUAAACACUCUAAUGUGUAUUCAAAUUAUCUCUAUAAUUUAUCAUGAUUUCGUGAACUAAAAGUGUAUGCAUAUGUGUUGUUAUUUAUGAUUAUGUGUUGUUGUUUAAUAUUUUUAUAUGUCACUUUAUAGGCAAGUAUUUUUGUUUAUGAGAAUAUGUUGUUGUCACAAUAUGUUGUUGUACAUUGCUGUUUAAAAUGUGUUGCUAUUAAUAAUUUAUGAUUAUAUGUUGCUUUUUACAACUAUUCUACUCAAUUCAUGUGUUGUAAACGCGGUUAUUUGUACCCGCGGGUACCCAUAUACCCUGGCGGGUGACGGGUAUGGGAAAAAAUGUACCCUUAACGGGUAUGGGCAUGGGUGAUGGGUAAACUCAGGGCGGACGGGUAAGGGUAUGGGGUAGCUCCACCCGUACCCAUACCCUGUGGGUGCCAUCCCUAUGUGGGAGACCCGGGUUCGAUCCCUGGUUCACCCCUUUUCUCUUUUUUUUCUGCAAGGGGUCGUCCUUCUCCCGCACAUGUUACAGGUGUGAUGUCUCCAUUCUGUUUUCUUUUCUUUUUUUUUUACUUUUUUUCUUCUUAUUUAUUUUUAUGUUUUUCUCUUUUAAAUUCAACGGAAAAAUUCCAAAUUUUAAAAGGUCGUGAGUUGAAUUUUGUAUAGAAAUCGUAAAAUGUUCACGAAUUCAGAAAAUGGUAGAGAAAUCAUAAAAUAAAUAAGAUUAAGAAACUGUUUGCAUAGUAUAAAAACAUUAUUUCAAAGCAAAUAUUCAUGAUUUUUAAAAGGUGAUCGUGAAUUCAAAACAUAUUUAGCAAUUUGAAAAUUAUGUCCAUAAAAUUUUAAAAAAUGUUUGCAAAAAUUCAAACAGAUACGUAAAUAACGAAAAGACGAACCAUCACUUAAAUAUUUUUUAGGGGAUACAUAGAGGUUGUUUUAUGAUUUUAUUUAGUCCAUGACGCAUCGGUUAAAAAAGGGUUUUUGUGUUCUAUACAAUGCUUGCUCCCAGAAAAAUUGACACAACUUUCUAUGGCGCAAUGCUAGGUCAAGAUGAGACGUAGUUUAUGACAUGACAUUUUAGAAGUCCUUAUCUCAUCCUGACAUAGUCUAAUUGUUUUUCCCCAUUGUAAUGCACGGGCAUAUUUGCUAUAUCUCUACCUAAUAGAGGAUAAGCGGCAACACAAAUAUGAUAUCUCGCGAAAAUAAAGGAGAUGGACCUAUUGUGAUCUUGAGUGAUGGUUGUUGGGUUAAGAGCGUGUGUUAUGUUUUCUCUUCCGUUGCAACGCACGGGCUCUUUUGCUAGUAUCCUUGAAGAUUGUUUCUAACAAUGGUAUCAUGAGCAUGUUUAUGCCUAGAUUAGAUCCCUACUGACCUUCUGUUUACGUUAAUGGUAAUGGUUAAGUCAUAAUGAUUUCAGAUUAAGAUCGAUGGUUAAUGCCUAUAGAUUAAUGCCCUCUGCUAAGUCAAUGAUAUAUGUUCAGGUUAAUUGGUUUCGGUCAAGGCCAAUUGCUAUGGGUUAAUGCUAUUAGACAGAACGUCCAAUAUAUUCUGUUAGAUUAAUUGAGCCAAGCUUCCGCAUCGAGUUAAUGAUACAAUUAGCACGUUACAAUCCCCGGUUUAGCAAUUAGGAGGUGAUUUGACAAACUAAUGAAAAUCCCCAAAGUUCCAAAUUCACCAAAACCCUACCCUAGAAAAUUCCCCAAUUUGCAAAUCCAAAGCGCCAAAUGUUGAAAUUGAAGAAAAGAGGGACUGGUACUGUUGUUAAUGGCGGCCGCAGUGCGUGCUCGUCAUGGCCGGAACGACGCCGUCCUUCGGGACGACGACCAGUGUGAAGCGCGCCGCCGCUCGCCGCUCUAAUGGACGCGCACGUCGGCAGGGUUCCGCGCCUUGCACGUCGCCGUCACAUCCAAAAGAUUGCGCCGGCAAUUGCGCUCGUCUCCCCAUCGUCGCUGUCUGGGCCAUAUUGCGUCCCGAGUGGCCACGCUCGGCAGAGGAGCGCGCGGCACUCCGUCCGCUGCGGACCCCUGUUUUGUUCCGCUGGGUCUCGAUCUGGUCCGUCAAUCCGAUCGGACGGGUGACAGCGACAAGUUGCAAAUAAUGGGCCUCGGUUUGUUAAAUGGGCCAAACCUGGCAGUGGGCAGGUUGGUACCUCCUAUCUGCCACAUUCUGCGGCAGACUUGCAGGCGAGAGCUCCUAUGCGCCGAAUUGUCGAGCGGACGCACAGGCGUGUCUCCAGCUGGGCCAGCCCAUUAGCGCAAGGCGGUGAAUAAAUCCCAAAAUACUACGCUCGAGCGAGGGAUUGAACCAGGGACCUCCAUCUUUGUACGCAUGAGCCUAGCCAACGCGAUAGACAAGCUUUCUUGGUUUGCCAUGGCGCGCGAAGCUAACAGAUAAUGUAGAUCGGAACAUUUCUCAAAUUCCUAACGCGGAAAUUAUUUUGAAAAAGUGUUUUUUAAAAAAAGUGAACACUUUCCAAAUUUUAAAGAGAAAAACUAAAAAUCUUGUACAAAGUUUUGAUAAAAUGAACACUUUUUAAAAUCCCGAACAUUUUUUGAAUUUAGAGAACAAAAUUUGAACAUGAACAUUUUUUAAAGCACAAACAUUUUUUUAAUCUUGAGAACAAAUUUGGAAGCGCGGAUUUUUUUAAAGCAUCAACAUGUUUUUUGAAUCUUGAGAACAAAUUUGGAAGCGCGAACAAUUUCUUAAAGCACGAACAUUUUUUUAAUAUUGAGAAAAAAAUUUGAAACAGAGAACCAAUUUGAAAAAUCCCGAACAAAUUUGGAAGGGUGAACAUUUUUUGAAAAUGGGAACAAAAAAAUUAAAGUCUGGUACAUUAUAUUAAUUUCGAAAGUUUUAAACUUUUUUUGUAACGAGAACAAUUUUUGAAUUUUGAGAACAUUUUUAGAAAAAACUGAACAUUUUAUGGAAAGGCAACCAAAAUUUGAAUAUUUUGAAAAAUAGAGAGAAAAGAAAAAGAAAUAAGAGACCAAAGAAAGAAAACAAACAGAAAAAACGAAAAAAGAAGAAAUGAAAAAAGAAACAGAAAGGAAUUUGAAAAUCUGAAGAACAAAAAGGAAAUAGAAAGAGAAGAAAAAGGAAUUGAAAAUGAACUAAAGAAACAGAAAAACAAAGAAAGAAAAAAAAGAAACAGAAAAAGAAAAAGAAAAACUGUGAAAAACUGGUUCAAGAACCUUCUGGAAGGUUCUCAAAACCGGUCAGGAACCUUCCAGAAAGUACCCAAAACCAGAUACUAUAGCGCGUGUACUAUCUCGUAGUUGGGCCGGGCCAUCUUGAUUGCUAGGUCGCUCGCCUCUGUGGGUUCGCUCGACUUUCUGCCGCAAUGAUCGUCCGUUAGGAUAUUCCCUUACGGGGAGUUCCUAUGGAUCGCAUUCUGCGCUGCUUGAAAGCAUAUGACUCUAACCAGUUGACCUAGUGACAUUUCUUCAUUACAAUACACCGAUCCGUUAAAAAAUUCAAACCCAAAACUUGUUUUUUCAAAAAAAAACAUGAAUGUUUUAUCAAACGGGAACAUUUUUUCAAUUUUUUAAGAAUUUUGAGAAAACUUAAACAUUUUUCAUCACGCAAAAUAAUUUUGGAGAAGCGAACAUUUUCAAAAUGGAACAUGUUUUAAACUGCCAAAAAAACUGAACAGGAAUUUUUUUUCAAAAAUAGGAACAUUUUUCAAAUUCCAAAACAAAAUUUGGAAACACGAAUAAAUUUUGAACGCGCACAAAUUUUUAAUUUCCCAAACAUUUUUUUGAAAACAUGAAGGUUUUGGAAUAAUUUUUUAAAGAACGAACUUUUUUGAAUCUUGAGAACAAAUUUUGAAACGGAGAACAAAUUUUGAAGCGCGGACAAAUUUUUAAAACACUAACAUUUUUUGAAUUUUAAGAACAAAUUUUCAAAUGGAGAACAAUUUAAAAAAUUCCUGAACAAAUUUGGAUGCGUGAUGUUUUUUAAUACGUGAACAAAAAAUUGAAAUCCGGUACAUUUUCUGAAUUUCGAAAGUUGUGAACUUUUUUGUGUAAUGACAACAAUUUUUUGAAAACUGAACAUUUUUUUAAAACAUGGACGUUUUGGGAUUUGUGAACAAUUUUUUAGAGCAGAAACAUUUUUUGAAUCUUGAGAACGAAUUUCAAAAAGGAGAACAAAAUUUUAAUGCACGAACAUUUUUUGAAUCUUGAGAACAAAUUUUGAAAAGGAGAACAAUUUUGGAAAAUCCCUAACAAAUUUGGAAGCAUGAUUUUUUUUUGGAAUAAAUGAACAAAAAAUUGAAAUCCGGUACAUUUUCUGAAUUUCAAAAGUUGCUGAACUUUUUUGUGUAAUGAGAACAUUUUUUCAAAAACUGAACAUUUUGUUGGAAACAUGAAUAAAACUUGAAUAUUUUGAAAAAAGUUUGAAAAAAAGAGAAGGGAAGCAAAAGAAACAAAAACCAAAGAAAAAAUUGUUGAGAAGAGAAAUUAACUUGAAAAGGAAAACUGGAAGAAAACAAAAGAAGUAACGAAAAGAAAAGAAAAAAGAACCAGAAAAAGGAAGAAGAAAAACAAAUAGAAAGGCUAAAAAAGAAAAAUAAAAGGAAAAAUAAAAAACCGGUUCAGGAACCUUCUAGAUAGUUCCCAAAACCAGUAAGAACCGGCUGGGAACGCUCUAGAAGGUUCCCGAAACCAGAACCUGUAAGUACGCUAAAGAUGGGCCGGCCCAAAUCGCUCGCUAGUGGGCAUCCCUUGUGCGAUUCGUCAACAGUUUGACGCAAUAUGCGUCAAAUAGGAUUUUCCCACUGGCGGCGCUUCGCACAAGGGUGCCAAACUAACGGCCCGCCUAGGCAAUGAACCCCGUGAUGCGAAAAAAAAGGAAGAACGACGCGCCCUAGGUUCGAAAUCUUCGUGGCUAAUAAUUACCUGCCUCAACCAGUGGACCUGAUGACCUUUCGUGAACGGUAAGCAGCGCCAACAUUUAAGUAGUGACACUCGCGUAUAAAAAUUCCUAAAAGUGUUGGUCCAGCAGGGAUUCGAACUCGGCCCCUCCUGGUAGUAAACAGUGGCACAUAACCAUUGAAACACGUAUUUUCGGUCUCUAAAAUUGCAGCAUGGCUUAUAAGAAAUGCUAGGGCACACAACAUUUAGAGUACUCUGAAAAUUUUCCUUUGUUUUUAAGUUUCACUAUUAGCCUUUGUUUUUAAGUUUCAGUAAGUCCAACAAUGUUUCUGUUAAUUUCUUUUUUGAAUAAAUGUAUUACUGAUCGAGUGUUUCAGAACUUUAGAACACUUGUUUGUCCUGUAAUUUCAAACACAACAGAUCAUGUUUAAUUAACCACCAUAUCAGCAAAUUGUGCUUCAUAGACAAACAUUAUAGACUAUCAAGAUGAAUGUAGCAUCACCAUUACCUGUUCAGGCAGGCCAUUUCAACCAUGGAUUGUGGUUGCAAUUAUUUGACAAGCUUCAGCGCUAGAAUCUGCAACCACAUCUGACUCAUUGUACUGCAAAUGAAGAAUUGAGUCACUUUAUUAUCUGUGAAACAAGAUACAGAAUUGAUCAACAAUUAUCCUUAGGCUUGCUGUGAACAUGCAUGAGCUAUAACACAGCAGUCCCCCACUUAAGCAGCAAGGAGUAGAGCAAACAAUCUUGAACAUCAUGUCAAUAAACUGAAAAUGUUCAAGGUACUGCAGUAAACUGAAUCAAUGUCGUUUUAACAAUGUUGUUUCAAGCAGACAAAGGAGUUUCAAGUAAACUGAAAAUGUUCAAGGUAAUGCAGUAAACUGAAUCAACAACAACUACUCCCAACUCUAAAUUUUGACAGUAAGAAUAAGAAAGAAAAUUCAGUGAGUAAAUAAGAUUGCAGAAUAAGAAUAAGAACAGGGGCUUGAGGAUGUUCCAAUUAUUUAAGUGAAGAACUGCGAAUUUGUUAUGGUAGAUACUCCCAACUCUGAAUUAUGGGCAGAAUCAUGAGAUGACGAGAAAGGUUAUAGAGGGGCAGAAUCAUUGGCAUCAGAAGAAAAAUAAAUCAUGGACUAUAGAGGGGCAGUUUUGUACAGGCUAUAGAGGUUAAUGAUAGCUGUGGUGUUACCGACAAAAUUACUGGAGUGUAACGAAUCUUGCUAAUAAUCCUUAGCAAGACAAUAAUCUUUAGCACUUGAAAACUCUUUGCAGCAAACAAAAAUUAUCUUGGAAAGUGUCCACGGAAUUUCAGUCGGAGCCAUCUCCUUUUCAAAAACAUCAUGAAUCCAAAAUCUAGGAGACAGAUUUUAGAGAAUUGCUAAUAUUCCUGGGACAGUAGCAGCAUGGGCUAAUCUAAGCUUAACCUUAUUUCACACUUAACUGCCUGAUGUGACUGCACGAAGCACUGUUGUUGCAUUUUAUCACUAGGCAAAUGUUCUCUGCAAACAGCAUUCAUUCUUCUGGUUUUUCUCUGCAGGAGCAACAUAAAAGAGGCGAAGACGCCGAAGAACCAAAGAUAUCGGUAGCCAAAGCCUUCAAAGCGCAGGGAGAGGUAGCGUUAGAAGAUCACUACUGCUUUCUUUCAGGAGAGAUGGAAAUGUUGCUGUCGCUGUACCAACCGUUAGCUUAGACAACAGUAAGGCGUAAGCAAGCCCUGCACUGGGAUGAUGAUUUGCUUGGCCAUCUCAUGGGGAAAGUAUAUACAGGGAGAAGCUCUUAAACUUUGUUGCUUGUAAGUAAGCCACAUUUCGAUAGCAAAUCAUUGAUCAGGAAAUAUCAACCUACUCCUAAAAUUCUGAACUUUGGAGUAAAAAGUUACAGUAAUGAACAUGUUACAGUAAUGGACUAAGACUGAACCUGCAAUCCCAAAAUUUUGUCCCUUUCAUUGAUUCUGGAGAAAAAAGGAAGAGAUUGCAGCUUCACCUGGGCACGACUCGUGCACGGGCGGAAGCUCCGGCCGCCGGCAGCCGCGGGGAAGAACGAGGCGGUGGUUGUGCGUAGGCGCCGGCUUCGCUCUGCUCUGCCUGUCACGACCGCCGUGUCCGCUCCCGCGCUUGGAGAAGCCGACCUCCUCGUCGAGGCCCAGCUCCGGCUCGCCGGUGCUCCGGUACGCUCCCUCUGCUCCGGCACGCUCCCGCUGCCCCGGCUCGCCGCAGAUCGACACCAAAUCGGCACUUGACGG